GGUUCGAUCCUGGCUCAGAUUGAACGCUGGCGGGAUGCGUUUUCACAUGCAAGUCGAACGGCAAGCACGGACUUCGGUCUGGUGGCGAGUGGCGAACGGGUGCGAGUAAUGUAUCGGAACGUGCCUAGUAGCGCGGUGAUCAACCACGCGAAAGCGUAGCCAAUACCGCCAUUGCCCUUCGGGGAAAGCGGGGGACCCUGGGCCUCGCACUAUUAGAGCGGCCGAUAUCGGAUUAGCUAGUUGGUGGGGUAACGGCUCACCAAGGGCGACGAUCCGUAGCUGGCUUGAGAGGACUGAUCCCGUCCUGGGACUGAGACACGGCCCAGACUCCUACGGAGGCAGCAGGGGGAAUUUUGGAUACAGUCAGUAGAAAUCCCUGAUCCAGCUAUCCGCGUGUGCGAUGAAGGCCUUCGGGUUGUAAAGCACUUUUAAGGCAGUGAAAGGAAACGGCACGGGAUAAUACCCCCGUGCAACUGAUGCGGCCUGCGGUAACAAGCACCGGCUAACCACGUGCCAGCAGCCGCGGUACGUAGGGUGCAAGCGUUAAUCGGAAUUACUGGGCGUAAAGCGUGCGCAGGCGGUUCGGAAAGAAAGAUGUGAAAUCCCAGAGCUUAACUUUGAACUGCAUUUUUAACUACCGAGCUAGAGUGUGUCAGAGUGGGAGGUGGAAUUCCGCGUGUAGCAGUGAAAUGCGUAGAUAUGCGGAGGAACACCGAUGGCGAAGGCAAGCCUCCUGGGAUAACACUGACGCUCAUGCACGAAAGCGUGGGGAGCAAAACAGGAUUAGAUACCCCGGUAGUCCACGCCCUAAACGAUGUCAACUAGCUGUUGGGGCCUUCUGGGCUCUUACAAGCAGCUAACGCGUGAAGUUGACCGCCUGGGAGUACGGUCGCAAGAUUUAAACUCAAAGGAAUUGACGGGGACCCGCACAAGCGGUGGAUGACAGGAUUAAUUCGAUGCAACGCGAAAAACCUUACCUACCCUUGACAUGUCUUAAAUCCGAAGAGAUUUGGGAGUGCUCGCAAGAGAACCGGAACACAGGUGCUGCAUGGUUCGUUCCGUCAGCUCGUGUCGUGAGAUGUUGGGUUAAGUCCCGCAACGAGCGCAACCCUUGUCAUUAGUUGCUACGAAAGGGCACUCUAAUGAGACUGUCGGUGACAAACCGGAGGAAGGUGGGGAUGACGUCAAGCUCUCAUGGCCCUUAUGGGUAGGGCUUCACACGUCAUACAAUGGUCGGGACAGAGGGUCGCCAACCUGGCGAGGGGGAGCCAAUCCCAGAACCCGAUCGUAGUCCGGAUCGCAGUCUGCAACUCGACUGCGUGAAGCUCGGAAUCGCUAGUAAUCGCGGAUCAGCAUUGUCGCGGGUGAAUACGUUCCCGGGUCUUGUACACACCGCCCGUCACACCACAUGGGGAGUGGGUUUUACCAGAAGUAGUUAGCCUAACCGUAAGGAGGGCGAUUACCACGUAGGAUUCAUGACUGGGGUGAAGUCGUGUAACAAGGUAACUCCCCAGCACACCUGAUGCCCCA
rnacentral:rRNA from 1 species